UGGGGAAUAUUGCACAAUGGGCGCAAGCCUGAUGCAGCCAUGCCGCGUGUAUGAAGAAGGCCUUCGGGUUGUAAAGUACUUUCAGCGGGGAGGAAGGCGAUAAGGUUAAUAACCUUGUCGAUUGACGUUACCCGCAGAAGAAGCACCGGCUAACUCCGUGCCAGCAGCCGCGGUAAUACGGAGGGUGCAAGCGUUAAUCGGAAUUACUGGGCGUAAAGCGCACGCAGGCGGUCUGUCAAGUCGGAUGUGAAAUCCCCGGGCUCAACCUGGGAACUGCAUUCGAAACUGGCAGGCUAGAGUCUUGUAGAGGGGGGUAGAAUUCCAGGUGUAGCGGUGAAAUGCGUAGAGAUCUGGAGGAAUACCGGUGGCGAAGGCGGCCCCCUGGACAAAGACUGACGCUCAGGUGCGAAAGCGUGGGGAACAAACA
rnacentral:rRNA from 1 species